GCCUGGGUGGCUCAGUGGUUGAGCGUCUGCCUUCAGCUCAGGGUGUGGAUCCCGGGGUCCUGGGAUCAAGUCCCACAUCGGGCU
rnacentral:tRNA from 1 species